CCAGGCAGGGUGGAGGUGGAGGCCAGGCUCUGGCCAGGCCUGAUAAUGGGGAGCCUGAUUCUACCUUGAGAGUCACUAGCCGAGACCCCACCACGGAUUUCCACUCUCCCAUGGGUGGCACGACCCAGGCUGUCUGUAGCGCGUCUGUGUGUCUGGGGGGCCAUGGCGUGUGCAGAGAACACACACUCGCAGAUACACCCCUAGCCAGUUCCCUUUGCUCCCACCAUUCCCAGACUUCGGCGCCAGGGAGGACCCAGGCUCCAGGGGUGGCAGCAGGGCCCCCAGCCGGGGCGGGAAGGGGUGGGGCAGAAGUGCCACACAGGUGAGUGGGGCAAGGCUGGAGCUCCAGGGUUGGUGGGGGAGAGGGGUGGUGCGCUGGAGGCAGGCGGCCGCUGGCUGGGGGGUUGGGGUCUGCAGGCACCCCAGGGAGGAGGGGCUGGCCUGGUGCCUCUCUCCCCGCUGCUCCCCACCCCUCCAGGUCUUCGAGAUGGUGGGAAGAAGAAGAGUGCAUGGAGAGCCAGGAGGAGACAGAGGACCAGCCGCUUCCCGAUGAUGUCCCUGUGGUGUCUCGGGCGCAGAGACUGGAAUGUCCAAGAACCGGGGCCCAACUCCUACUUGGAGGCCAAGGCCCCCUCCAAAAGGAGCACCCUGGCAUUCUGGUACCCAGUGGCCCCCAAGCCAAUAGGUGGUCGGGCUGGCCCAGGGAAGCCCCCAGAAGAAGCCGUCAGAGGAGACCCACGGAGUCUGGCUUCUGUGUGAUCAUGUGACCCCACUCUGCCGGCCCUGAGUGUGGCCUCUGUGGUCUCUGGGACCAAGGCUCUUCCCCGGUGUCCGGUGCCCUAUGGACGCACAAGGGAACACCACUGGCAAGAGGGCACCUCUGGGGGCACCUGGGUGGCUCAGUGGGUUAAAGCCUCUGCCUUCAGCUCAGGUCAUGAUCCCGGGGUCCUGGGAUCGAGCCCUGCAUUGGGCUCUCUGCUCGGCGGGGAGCCUGCUUCCUCCUCUCUCUCUCUCUCUGCCUGCUUGUGAUCUCUGUCUGUAAAUCUUUAAAAAAAAAAAAAAAAAAAGAGGGCAACUCUGUCGGCUGAACAGGGCCUUUGCAGUCUGGGCACUGAGGUGUUCCGUUUGUUCUUUGUUGAGAGUUUGGGACUCAACGGGCAAAAGAAGGAGGGAAAAUGGUCCGUGAAUUUCCCCUUUUUCCUUCUGGAUCCAGACCUCAUGACUGCCGAGGCCUCGCUGCUCUAAAAGCUGUGACAUCUUGGUCAGCAGGCUUUGCAGUCAUGGACUCGCUCCAGACCUCCACCUUCUCGAAGUGGAAAUGGGGCUGAAAUGCUACAGGGACACUUCUCAGCCCACAGAUGGACUGCACCGCCCCCACGAGAGUCACGGGCUGGGGACACAGCCCCUCAGGCGUGCCGGACGCUGCCGCCAGCGGCCACCACAUUUUGGAAAGUGUGUGGUUCAGUCAGCGCCCACCACACCCGGCUCUGAGCGUUUCCCAAGGGUUUUUUCCUGCAGUUCUCACGGCAGACGACCCCCUUUCACAGACGAGGAGAACAUGCGUGUCCUCCCGGCCACACAACUGAGAAGCGGGGAAGCCAGGAUUCAAACCCGGCCGGGGAGCACCUCGGCGAGUGCCGUGCGGCUUGCCACCCCGUUUUUUGGUACCCAAUGUGCUCACACCGACUGCCUGUGUUCUUGGAACUCAUGAUUCAAUUAAAUAUUACACAAACUGAUGAACAAAGUGUGAAAACAAGCCCUGUUUGUAUGAAAACGAAGCUGAAUCUUUGGAAGUCUUGAUUAAGGUGAGUCAAUUCAAAAACUACUGUGAAUGAGAUGUGAGCAAGACGAUGAUCACAUUUUGGGGCAAAAUAGUAAAAAACUAGAUAAAUUUUGCACUCAGAUUGCUUCAAACACGCCAUUAACUGUUCCACCUCCAGGAAGCAGCCUGGAAAGUGCAGGUGACCCGUAAUGAGGUUCGGGUCACAGAGCUCCGGUCCUGGGCUCCAGAA